rnacentral:rRNA from 1 species
GGCUCAGGAUGAACGCUGGCGGCGUGCCUAACACAUGCAAGUCGAGCGAUCUUCUUCGGAAGAGAGCGGCGGACGGGUGAGUAACGCGUGGGUAACCUGCCCUGUACACACGGAUAACAUACCGAAAGGUAUGCUAAUACGAGAUAAUAUGCUUUUGUCGCAUGGUAGAAGUAUCAAAGCUCCGGCGGUACAGGAUGGACCCGCGUCUGAUUAGCUAGUUGGUAAGGUAACGGCUUACCAAGGCGACGAUCAGUAGCCGACCUGAGAGGGUGAUCGGCCACAUUGGAACUGAGACACGGUCCAAACUCCUACGGGAGGCAGCAGUGGGGAAUAUUGCACAAUGGGCGAAAGCCUGAUGCAGCAACGCCGCGUGAGCGAUGAAGGCCUUCGGGUCGUAAAGCUCUGUCCUCAAGGAAGAUAAUGACGGUACUUGAGGAGGAAGCCCCGGCUAACUACGUG